AAAAGGAUGAGAGGGCAUGUAGUUGUGGGAUUGAGAGAUUAAAAAGCAUGGAUAAGGUAAAAUUAUAUAUGAAAAACAUGUUUUGUUGGUGAUUAAAAGAGUUAAAGCAAGGGUUUUGAAAACCAGCGUGAGAAAGAAAGAAUUGAACAAAGGAAGGAGGCUUGAAGAAAGCUUGAUUUCUUUUGCAAUUUAUUUGUGAUUUCAUGUGUUUAGAAGAGUUUCCCAUAUUCUCAACCGCCCCACCGUUUCCACCCGCAACAGUCAUAACUAAUCUUGCUAUACCAAAA